rnacentral:lncRNA from 1 species
AGGCUCUGGUUAAGUAGUUUCUCUUGAGGGCAGACCUUGUUAAGAACAGAACGCUCAGGUGUAUUUCUAAUUGGUUCCUUUUCCCUUCCUCCUCUUGGAAGCAUGAGCCGAUUUUUCUCUGAUAUUUACUGUGAGAACCUGGUAAAGAUUCAGGAAGUAAAACUCACAAAUUAUGGGGCCUCCUAGAUGACUGGGUUCCCCUGGAGUUUUUCACUCUCAGAGUUGUCCACACUGAGUCUCCAACAAUUCUUCAGUUAUAGUUCAGGUUUCCUUAUGCUGGCACUGGUUCCCAUGGAGGCUGCUGCUCCGGAGAGCAUGCGGCCUUCCUGCGAGGAACACAGUCUGAGGAAACAUACAACUCUCACAUGAUUGUUCAAGUGCAAAUUCUGCGCCUCUUGAUCACAGAUCGUGCCUUAUGUGCAGAGACUUUGGUUAACGCCUUAAUAGCUUUUGGAAAAGAACAUGACAAGUUCAAAUCAACCAACUUUCAAGUCAAGGCGUGCUGUGAAACACACAAAGCCAAAGUCUAACUAUAAAGGCAGAAAGAUUGAAGAUGCUGGAAUUACAGCGUUGGCAGGUCAUUUAUGUCAGACUUGUGAUUUUGACAUUUAAAAAUGGGACAUUGAGGACUGGGAUGAAGCAGAGAGCUUGGUGGAUCUCUGCACUGUCACCACCUACCACUAAGAGAGUAUAUUCUGAGACACUUGGACCUUGGAGGCAGCAUAUCCUACACUUAAGAAUAUUACUCUGAUCCAUUAUUAGAGGACUCUUCAGGCUGCAAGUAUUGAUUGGACCCUAGAUU